rnacentral:rRNA from 1 species
UACGUAGGGGGCAAGCGUUGUCCGGAUUUAUUGGGCGUAAAGAGCGUGUAGGCGGCCAAACAGGUCAGCUGUGAAAACUCGAGGCUCAACCUCGAGACGUCGGUUGAAACCGUAUGGCUAGAGUCCGGAAGAGGAGAGUGGAAUUCCCGGUGUAGCGGUGAAAUGCGCAGAUAUCGGGAAGAACACCCGUGGCGAAGGUGGCUCUCUGGGACGGUACUGACGCUGAGACGCGAAAGCGUGGGGAGCAAACAGG